GAGGGUAGAGCUCAGUGGUAGAGCACGUGCUUCGUAUGCUUGAAGUCCUGGGUUCAAUCCCCAGUCCCUCCA
rnacentral:tRNA from 1 species